AUGAAGGGUCCUGGGUGUGGAGCCUGCCCCAGCCCUCCUCACACACUUUCCUACCCAGAUCCCCCAGAGGGGCAGCCCUCCUGUGCCGUGCUCCCCUCCCCCAGGGCUGUGACUUUGCCCUGCACCUGGCCUGGAGGGUUUCCGCCGGCCCAGCUGCAGUGGGAAGGGCCCCAGGGGACUGGUCCGACUGCCCCCAGCAACGUCACCUGGAGUCAUGCAACUGCCCAGCUCCCCAACGGUAGCGUCUUCACCUGCACCGGUCAGCACCCAGCCCUGGCAUUGCCGGCCGUCUGCAGGAUCACGCUCUGGGAACCUCUCUGGAGCCCCACCUGCUGGACCACGGCCUCUCUGGGAGACCAGUUGAUCAUGCUGAGCUGCAGGUGGCCUGGAGGUGAGCCCCCUGCCGUGCUGGGCUGGCUUGACGGACAACAGCGGCCUCUGGGCAGCAACAGCUCUUCGCUGGCCAUCCACCUUCUGCAGGCCCAGGACAAUCUAGCCGGCAGGGAGUUCACCUGCCGGGGCACUCACCCACUCAGGAGCCCGGACCCCUACUGCCAGCUCCAGCUGGAAGCCCCACAGCUGGCAGUGGCUGAGCCCCGCGUGUCUGUGUUGGAGGGGGGAGAGGCCAUGCUGGCCUGUGUCCUGCAGCAUGGCACACCACCCGCCCAGCUCCUCUGGCUGGGACCCCAGCUGCGGCAGGUGGAACAGGGCACGUCUGGAUUCACACUAUACCCUGAGGGUGCCUGGCUGCGCCUCCACAUCCAAGAUGCUGACCCAGCACGCCACAAGGGGACCUACCAAUGUGUGGCCAGCAACGCUGUGGGCAGCCACCAUCGCAGCGUGCAGCUGGAGGUCCUGAGAUAUCCAGCUCCUCCCAACGUCACCAUCAGCCGCCUGACCUACGCACGGCACCGCAGAGAGGUGCAGCUGCAGUGGGUGCUGGAGGGCUCCGGGAACCUGACGGGCUUCCUGGUGCAGCGGAGGGCCAGCAUCCCCGGCACUGCCGCCUGGGAGACGGCAGCCAGCGACAUCGAGCCUGAGAGCAGGGGCCGGCGGCUGGGAGGCUUGGACCCCGGAGUCCUCUAUGCCUUCCGCAUCCUGGCUCUGAACCACCGCACGGCUGGGCUGCCCUCCCCGGUGAAGACACCAGGUGCUGGUGCUGGCACCAGGGAGGGACCGGCCUUGCUCCAGAGAACUGAGCCUUGGUUCUCCCUCCUCCUCCUCCCUCUCUCCCCUCCUCCCCUUCCUCCCGCUCUUCCUUCUCUCCCCCCUUGUCCCCCCUCCCCCCAGUCCUCUCCUCUCCCCCUGGAUCAGAAGAAAUAG
rnacentral:lncRNA from 1 species